rnacentral:rRNA from 1 species
AGCGUAAACUCCUUUUAUCAGGAAAGAAUAAUGACGGUACCUGAUGAAUAAGCACCGGCUAACUCCGUGCCAGCAGCCGCGGUAAUACGGGGGGUGCAAGCGUUACUCGGAAUCACUGGGCGUAAAGGACGCGUAGGCGGAUUAUCAAGUCUUUUGUGAAAUCUAGUGGCUUAACCACUAAACUGCUUAGGAAACUGAUAGUCUAGAGUAGGGGAGAGGUAGAUGGAAUUCUUGGUGUAGGGGUAAAAUCCGUAGAGAUCAAGAAGAAUACCCAUUGCGAAAGCGAUCUGCUGGAACCUAACUGACGCUGAGGCGUGAAAGCGUGGGUAGCAAACAGGAUUAGAUACCCUGGUAGUCCACGCCCUAAACGAUGUAUACUAGUUGUUGCUUUGCUAGUCAAGGCAGUAAUGCAGCUAACGCAUUAAGUAUACCGCCUGGGGAGUACGGUCGCAAGAUUAAAACUCAAAGGAAUAGACGGGGACCCGCACAAGCGGUGGAGCAUGUGGUUUAAUUCGAAGAUACGCGAAGAACCUUACCUGGACUUGACAUCCUAAAAACAUCUAAGAGAUUAGAAAGUGCUAGUUUACUAGAAUUUAGUGACAGGUGCUGCACGGCUGUCGUCAGCUCGUGUCGUGAGAUGUUGGGUUAAGUCCCGCAACGAGCGCAACCCACAUGUUUAGUUGCUAACAGCUCGGCUGAGCACUCUAAACAGACUGCCUUCGUAAGGAGGAGGAAGGUGUGGACGACGUCA